rnacentral:rRNA from 1 species
GACGAAUGCUGGCGGCGUGCUUAAUACAUGCUUGUCGAACGGGGUCCAACCGGUGGCAACACCGGGGAAGACCUAGUGGCGAACGGGUGAGUAACACGUGAGCAACCUGCCCCGAAGACCGGGAUAACAGUGGGAAACUGCUGCUAAUACCGGAUACCCCCAUCUGACCGCAUGAUCGGAUGAGGAAAUGAAUUUCGCUUCGGGAGGGGCUCGCGGGCUAUCAGCUUGUUGGUGAGGUAACGGCUCACCAAGGCAGCGACGGCUAGCUGGUCUGAGAGGACGACCAGCCACACUGGGACUGAGACACGGCCCAGACUCCUACGGGAGGCAGCAGUAGGGAAUCUUGCGCAAUGGGCGAAAGCCUGACGCAGCAACGCCGCGUGGGGGAUGAAGGCUCUCGGGUUGUAAACCCCUUUCAGCAGGGACGAAAUUGACGGUACCUGCAGAAGAAGCCCCGGCCAACUACGUGCCAGCAGCCGCGGUAAUACGUAGGGGGCGAGCGUUGUCCGGAUUCAUUGGGCGUAAAGAGCUCGUAGGCGGCUUGGCAAGUCGGAUGUGAAAACUCCAGGCUCAACCUGGAGCCGCCAUUCGAUACUGCUAUGGCUAGAGUCCGGUAGGGGAGUGUGGAAUUCCCGGUGUAGCGGUGAAAUGCGCAGAUAUCGGGAGGAACACCGAUGGCGAAGGCAGCACUCUGGGCCGGCACUGACGCUGAGGAGCGAAAGCGUGGGGAGCGAACAGGAUUAGAUACUCUGGUAGUCCACGCCGUAAACGUUGGGCACUAGGUGUGGGGCCUUAGCUCGUGUCGUGAGAUGUUGGGUUAAGUCCCGCAACGAGCGCAACCCUUGUCCUAUGUUGCCAGCGGGUAAUGCCGGGGACUCGUAGGAGACUGCCGGGGUCAACUCGGAGGAAGGUGGGGAUGACGUCAAGUCAUCAUGCCCCUUAUGUCCAGGGCUGCACACAUGCUACAAUGGCCGGUACAAAGGGUUGCUAUUCCGCGAGGAUGAGCGAAUCCCAGAAAGCCGGUCUCAGUUCGGAUUGGAGUCUGCAACUCGACUCCAUGA